rnacentral:lncRNA from 15 species
AUGGCUAAAGGAGCUGUGAAUGACAGAGCCAUCAGCACACCGAAAGGUUUCAACAUCAACUUAACUUUUGACGAAGGAGUCAGUGCGAUCUUCAGUGACCGAGGAACAAGUCUUGUUGGGGAGACCAGUGUUCUUCAUGUGCGGUCAAAUGAGCAGCAAGCUCCUGGAUUGCGGCAGUGGAACGUGCAGUCUCCUCUCCGCCAGAAGAAAAAAUCAUCUAAUGUCUAAUGUUGAUAUGCGCUUUUGAAAUGGUGUUUGUUGUUGCUGUAUUACUGUACUCAUAUUUUGCUGUUUCCUGUUGCUCUGCAUGGCUUAUGGUUAUUGGUUAUUAUUGUUAUUAUUAUUGUUUUGUCUCUGUUGCUUUAUGGCGCCUCGUUGCCUUCUGUAAAUUUCACCUCAUCACAUUAUAGGUUUCAAAACAUCCCAACAAAUCUUUUUGAUAAUAAAGAUAAACCUUCAGAAUAUUUUUUGUGGCCAGAUUAUUACUGUUUAUUAUUUUUUUGCUCCCUUUUCAUUUCGGUUCCAAUGUCAGUCAAUCUUUUUGGUGUCUAGUAACUAGCCACUAGCAGAAUUCGAGUGUGAUUUGACUCCAGUCCAUUUGACUGAAAAUUUACCUAAAUUGAAAAUUCAACAGCUUUUUGUGCUCAAAUAAAUCCAUCAUGUCAGAGAGCAAAGGGCAUCCAUUGUAGGGUUUGCCACUUUCAGUGUGAAUAAAUGAACCAUGCCAGGGGACAAACAUC